rnacentral:rRNA from 1 species
GUGGGGAAUAUUGGACAAUGGGCGAAAGCCUGAUCCAGCCAUGCCGCGUGUGUGAAGAAGGUCUUCGGAUUGUAAAGCACUUUAAGUUGGGAGGAAGGGCAGUAAGUUAAUACCUUGCUGUUUUGACGUUACCGACAGAAUAAGCACCGGCUAACUUCGUGCCAGCAGCCGCGGUAAUACGAAGGGUGCAAGCGUUAAUCGGAAUUACUGGGCGUAAAGCGCGCGUAGGUGGUUUUGUAAGUUGGAGGUGAAAUCCCCGGGCUCAACCUGGGAACUGCCUCAAAAACUGCAUGACUAGAGUACGGUAGAGGGUAGUGGAAUUUCCUGUGUAGCGGUGAAAUGCGUAGAUAUAGGAAGGAACACCAGUGGCGAAGGCGACUACCUGGACUGAUGCUGACACUGAGGUGCGAAAGCGUGGGGAGCAAACAGGAUUAGAUACCCCGGUAGUCC